rnacentral:misc_RNA from 1 species
GAAGGAGUUUGGGCCAAUCAAACCUCAUUUCGGGCUGGCAGCUUGCAAGGAGGCUGGAAGGCUCCAGAAUUCUCUCCAUUUCUCCUGAAUGUCCAAGGCAACUUGUUAGGGAAGCCUUGCAGCAAUUUUGAGGAAUUGGGAGGGAAGAAAUCUGCACCACAAGUUGAGGAGGUGCUGCUGCCUAUAAAUACUUGUUGCCUAGGC